rnacentral:rRNA from 1 species
UACGUAGGGGGCGAGCGUUGUCCGAAUUUACUGGGCGUAAAGCGCGCGUAGGCGGGUUAUUAAGUUGGGGGUGAAAUCCCGAGGCUCAACCUCGGAACUGCCUCCAAAACUGGUAGCCUUGAGGUAUGGAGAGGGAAGCGGAAUUCCUGGUGUAGCGGUGAAAUGCGUAGAUAUCAGGAGGAACACCUGUGGCGAAGGCGGCUUCCUGGCCAUAUCCUGACGCUGAGGUGCGAAAGCCAGGGGAGCGAACGGG